UGUUGAAUUUGAGCAGAAACAAAAUUGAAGGAAGUAUUCCUUCUCUGUUUCGUUCAUCUCUGGCUUCACUUGAUCUUAGUGGAAAUCGUUUGAAUGGAAAGAUACCAGAAAUUCUUGGAUUCUUGGGUCAGUUGUCAAUGUUGAAUCUCUCACAUAAUAUGCUUUCAGGCACCAUUCCUUCAUUUUCUAGUAUGAGUUUGGAUUUUGUUAACAUAUCAAACAAUCAGUUAGAAGGGCCGCUUCCGGACAAUCCAGCUUUUCUUCAUGCUCCGUUUGAAUCAUUCAAAAAUAACAAAGACUUGUGUGGAAAUUUCAAAGGCUUGGAUCCUUGUGGAAGUCGAAAGAGCAAAAAUGUCCUCCGAUCGGUAUUAAUUGCUUUAGGAGCUCUAAUUUUAGUAUUGUUUGGUGUUGGAAUUUCGAUGUAUACUUUGGGUCGAAGAAAAAAAUCAAAUGAAAAAAACCAAACUGAAGAACAAACACAAAGGGGAGUACUAUUUUCCAUUUGGAGUCAUGAUGGGAAAAUGAUGUUUGAAAAUAUCAUUGAAGCUACUGAGAAUUUUGAUGACAAAUAUCUCAUUGGAGUUGGAAGUCAAGGAAAUGUUUACAAGGCAGAGUUAUCUUCAGGUAUGGUUGUUGCUGUGAAGAAGCUACAUAUAAUAACAGAUGAAGAAAUCUCACAUUUCAGUUCGAAGUCUUUUAUGAGUGAGAUUGAAACCUUGUCAGGAAUCAGACACAGGAACAUCAUAAAGCUUCAUGGAUUUUGCUCACAUUCUAAAUUCUCAUUUUUGGUUUACAAGUUCUUGGAAGGAGGAAGCUUAGGUCAAAUGCUAAACAGUGAUACACAAGCCACUGCAUUUGAUUGGGAAAAGAGGGUGAAUGUUGUUAAAGGUGUGGCCAAUGCUUUGUCCUACUUGCAUCAUGAUUGUUCUCCUCCUAUUAUUCAUCGUGAUAUAUCAAGCAAGAAUGUCCUUCUUAAUCUUGACUAUGAAGCUCAAGUCUCCGACUUUGGAACGGCUAAGUUUCUAAAGCCAGGUUUACUUAGUUGGACCCAAUUUGCAGGCACUUUUGGGUAUGCAGCUCCAGGUUAGAUCCAUUUCCCCUCUCAUAUUAAAAUUGAAAUGAUUAUAUCACUUUUCGUAUAGAGUCAUUUCCAUGCACUUAUGGUGAAAACUUGUUUAUACGUGCAUCCAAUCAAAUCACUCCAAGUAAAUGAUAUUUUAUAGAUAAUUUAGGAAUUAACAUUAAAAAGUGGCAUCAUAGUGAGAUUUAACUGGAUGCAAGCGUAAUUUUUUUUACAGUGUUGUAUAAUACAAAUUAAAUCCCUUCAUAUGAUAUUGAAACUCAUAUUGAGUUGAGCAAAAUAUAACUUAUAUAAGUACAUUUGUUUUGUUGCAGAGUUGGCUCAAACAAUGGAGGUGAAUGAGAAAUGUGAUGUAUACAGUUUUGGAGUACUUGCUUUGGAAAUCAUAGUAGGAAAGCAUCCUGGAGAUCUCAUUUCAUUAUUUUUAUCACAAUCUACAAGGCUAAUGGCUAAUAAUAUGUUGUUGAUAGAUGUUUUAGAUCAAAGACCUCAACAUGUUAUGAAACCAGUUGAUGAGGAGGUUAUCUUGAUUGCAAGGUUGGCAUUUGCUUGCUUGAAUCAAAAUCCACGUUCUCGACCAACCAUGGAUCAAGUAUCUAAAAUGCUUGCAAUAGGAAAAUCACCUUUGGUGGGAAUGCAACUUCACAUGAUCAGACUAGGGCAACUUAACUAACUCAAUAUAAUAACUUAUUGUACUACUUGCUCCAUCCCAAAAUGACCCCAAAAUCAAUGAUCCUUUUCAAUAUCUUUCACAUUUGUAACAAAAAAAAAAAAAAUCACUUUGCAUUUAUAAUGAAGGCAUGUAUAUGAUAACAGUACUUUAUUAAUAUUCUUGUUAUUUCUCUUUUAUUUAUACAUUUUUCUCAGAUCGUUUGAAUAGGUCAACUGCGUCAGUUAUUUUGAGACGAAUGGAGUAUAUAACAAUAACAUCCGGUUUUUUUCUUAGGCAGACUAUACUUACCUCACGACCGAACUCAGAAUUAUCAUCGUCCCUUCCUCUAAAAACCGAAGGGUUAACAACAACAAAAACCGUGUAUUUUUCUUGCACAAUACUAUCAAUCAAUUUAUUUGCUCUUUUCAUAGGAAUCAAGGAUGAGUCUCUACAUCUAUCUUAUAUCUGUUCAUUUAGGAUUAAAAUGGCUUUAGGAAGACAAUGAGAUCUCAGACUUUCCUGAAAGCUUAGUAAGGGAGUCCUAAGUCAAAUAGCCUUAUUCAAUUCAAUGAUUUUUGAGUGAAUACCCGAAAGAAUGGACAAUCCACGGGGUCACUCUGUUCUUAAAGACUCAUGUUAUCAUUCACGCUUCCUGACCAGGGAUUCAAUACCUAUAAGGCAGCUACAUAUCUGCUAUUUAUUCAUACUUUAGAUUAGAAAUGAAGGACUCUCUCUAUCCUGAGUUACUUAACCAGACCCGGACCUGAGUAUAUACUAAAUUCUAAAUAAAAUGAGAAAAGUAGGAGACAACAAUGUAAUUGAUGAAAUUUCUCAAUGAGAAAAUUAUAGCAAUGGAGAAAUAUUAAUGAAGAAAUUUAAAUUUACAAAACAUAUCUAAAGAAUGAGCGAAUAAAAUUGAUCACACAGCGAAGAGUUUCUAACCUUCUUGGAGACAAGGUUUGGCGAGUGGUAGUCCACGCAUAGAUUCUGUGGUUUUGCUUAGAGUUAGGGAUAAAGGUAAAGAAGGUGUAGUAUUCCAUGUUUUCAAAUAUAUUAAAUGUUAAAUAAGUUUUUGAUGUUAAGGUUCAACAAUCAUUUAUUCGUGUAAAAGGCUGAAAUUUGUUUGUGAUUCACUGUAUAGUACAUACACAGUUAUGACAUGUUAUAAAUUUGUUUGACUUAAUCUCCAUCUGGUACAACAACAGAGACUGGAGUUAGUAACACUUUACAGUUGUCACUAAUUUGAUUUAGCAACAUUUGAUCGUUAAGUAUCAUUCAUUUCACCGUAACAAAAUAAAUAAGCUGAUGGGAAGUUAUGCUCAGAUGAAAAAAACAACAAUCAUCCUUGCUAACAAAGUGUUUCUACAAGGAUGAAUGGAUGUUUGACCCAAAUACUAAGCCCAAGUUCUAUGAGCCCUUGAGUUUAUUUGCAUGAUUCAUCAUGAAAAUAUUCUGUAUGUUUCUUCUGUCUUAUGAUGCAUCAUUGUUAGUUUUAGGAUUCUACCAAGUUUUUGAAUAACUUUUUAAGAAUGGUUUCUUGAGUGCUAUAUAUGUAACCAUAAAAUAUGGGAAUUAAGCAGAAAACAACAUUCAAAGAAGAUAGUUUGUUAGCAGUUUAGAUAUAGACCAGAUUUAUUCUUACAACAUUUCCUUUACCCUUCACGGUACUGACAAAAUGUGAUACAUUACAAGAACACAUUUACAUUGAUCGUGUAUAAAAUUUGAUAUCAUCUUUUACUAGGAUUUGAGUAUUAAAUGGAGCCAUCAAAAUGUGGCACAUUUUAUGGUUCUGCACAACAUGUAGUUGUCACAGGACUCCCAUUUAUCAAUUAUUACAACACAGAUACUUUAACUAUCACAACUUAUUACACUACAAUACCGAAACAACAACAAUGAAAUCGAUGAAAUAACAAAAGCAUACUAGUAUAAACCAAUAAUAACACUUUAAAUCAUUUCAUCUGCGUCUAACAGUAACGGGACUUCACACAAUGUUUCCCAUUUGUCCAUCACAGUUCUCCAAAUUCGUAUUUUCCCUUCGAAGAGUAAUGGGACUCCUUACAAUGUGUUUUCCAUUUGACCAUUGCAGUUCUCCAAAUUCGUAUUUUCCCUGUGGAGUCACACUUGUUGCUUGCACAGUAACUUUAAAUGUCUUCUUUUCACCUAUUUUCUUGAAUUUCAAGGAACUUGGUACAACAACAAUUUUAUAUCCAGGCAAUUGGGCUUUUGCAGUAUAUGUACUUCGUGGCCCAACAUUGGUAACUGUACGAGUGACAGAAACAGCAUUUAACCCAAGAUUUGGUAAUGUGAUUGAAGGGUAAUUCAAGUCAUUUAUGCUUUGAGUUCCAUAACAAGUGAAUGUCAUGUUGAAAAUAAGUGAUGAGAUGAGUUUUUGAUUGUAUCCAGCAGCACAUAAGAAGUUCAAGUAAUCCUUAAUCCCUAGAUCAUAAACAAGUCCUGGAUCUAUUGCACUGUUGGGUUGAAUAUGUCCUGAACCAUAAGCAAAUGCAUUUGCAGUUGUGUUUUCGAAUGCAUCUUCUAUCGGCUCGUUGGUGUUAUCUCUUGUGGUUGCUGCAAGGUCACAUUUCUUCGUAAGUAAGUAAUCAUCUUAAGUAUUAGACAAAUACGAUUUUUCUAUGACCAAAUCUAGUGAUAUAUCUUAUAAGUAUGUGAUUCCAUUGGGAAAAAAUUCUAGCUAUAUACUGAGUUCUAUAACCAUUUAAAGAUGUUAUUUAUAAAAUUUAUUAAAAUGUUACUUAUCACAUAUAAAAGUCACUUCUAUUUAUAUAGCACAUAUUGAGUUCACGCAAGCGAAAGGAGUGCAUCAUGUAACUCAUUUUUUUAUGUCUCUAAUUUCCUUUGAUGAUUAAUUUGUUAUAUGUACUUAGUUAUGAUUUUAGUUAUAUGUAUGAUUAGGAUUUCACUAAAUUAAUCAUAUAUUAUCUUGAUAAAUAAUCAUACAUGAAUAUUAAAAAUUAUGAACUUCAACUUAAAUCCACCAUCAAUUAUGAAUGUAUAUGUGACUAGCUAGCAUUUGCUCCAUAUAGUUUGUGUGUGUGUGUGUGUGUGUGUUGGGGUUGAGAGAAAAAAUACCAGUGGUCAUGAUAGCUGAUUUAAUAGCUGCAGGACUCCAAUUAGGAUGAAGUGUUUUGAUAAGUCCAGCAGUGCCAACAACAUGAGGACAAGACAUAGAAGUUCCUUGUUGUAUAUUGAAUGGAAAACCUCGACGAUUGUCUGUUACUAAAUUAGACACACUUGCAAGCAAUGAAUAGGCAGCAAGUAUGUUCACACCCGGCGCAGUUACAUCAGGCUGAAACAAAAAACAAAAGCAAUCUCCUUAACAUAUCAACAAAAAUUAAUGAGGAUUAUUAGAUAGUAACUAACAAAUUCAAGUGUAGUAUAAACACCUUGAGUAUAUAUGGUUGAACUUUAUUUGGUCCUCUAGAUGAGAAUGAAGCCAUAACUGGAGCUGGCUUUCUUCCAUUCAAAGCAUUUGCUGGUGACAUUCUUAUUGUAGCAUUCGUCUUUAUAUCUCUGCAAAAUAAAAAUAUAUAGGAUUAUGUAUAAAUGGUACCCUUCAUUUGUAACAUGUAAUUUAAUUAAUAAUAGGCUGAACUGCACUUUUCGCCCCCUAAGUUUCAAAAGCUUGUUACAAGAAAGAUAUGUAUAAGGAAUUAUUACUCAGGAGUUAUCUCUGAACCCUUUGGCGUUGUGAUUGAACGUGCAUCAUAAUAGUUGAUAGUAGACACAACAUGAGGCUCAGCAAGAAGUGUUUUUCCAUCAACUUCUGGUUGAUUUCUCAUAAUCACUCCCACUGCGCCUGCAGAUAAAGCUUCCUGACCUUCAGCAAUUGAAUUUAUUUUCCCUUCUCGAUCACACGCCACUACUUUACCAUUCACUUUUGAAGGAUCAAGCGUUCCUGGUCUACAAAAUUGACUGCAAAAAUAUGCAUAUGAAAAAAUUGACAAUCUUAGCAUCCUUUAUUUUUCACAAAUUUAAUCUCCAUGCAAAUUAUUUCUCACAACUAUCAACUCUGUUAUUGCAGUUUUGAUCUCUCAAAAUCGUGAGUGUUUGAAGUUUUAGUCUUCAAUUUCCCCAAAUUGGACGGUUUUAUUUUUGCAAUCAAAUAGUUUUUAAAGUCGACGAUUUGGAGAGAUCAAAACUACAUUAUGAAAGUGUGGGGACCAAAUUUGCAAUAAAAGGAACACCAAAAAUCAUAAAUUUUAAAAAAUAGUCAAUCAAAUAUACAAUUAACUUUUUCAUCAAUAUACAAGAAAAAAAAGUUUUGGAAUUCACACUUACGCAUCUACAUCUGUCACAUUGGCAAAUUUAGCAUCAGUAGAAAUUAUUAUAAGAAAGUCUUGGUUAGGUGGCAAGUUUACAAAAAGACUGGCUCCCUAGUAAGACAAGAAAAACAUAACACAAUUAAUUUCAAUGCUACAAUAAGUAUAAAUUAAUAACAAUAACAAUAAUAUGUAACGAAUAUAAACAAUAAGAAGAAUAUGAUAAAAAAAAACUAUAAGUUAAGGAUGAUACCGUGAGUGUUUUGUUAUUAAUAGUCAUGACACUGCUGAAGUCUCUGUCUAAUGUACUAGCAGCAACAGUGAACACCCAUGGAGCAACAUUAGUAACACUUCCAGGGGUAGGUCCUUCAUUUCCAGCCGAUGCAACUAAUAAUAUAUUUCUAGCAAGUGCAUGAAAUGCACCUAUUGAAAUCUCAUCAGUAAAAAUAACUUCAGGAUUUGUAUUAGGUUUGCCUCCAGCCGAAACAGAAAUCAAAUCAGCACCGUCGUAAAUUGCUUGAUCAAUAGCAGCUAAUACAUCGGCACCAAAGCAGUCUACAACAUCUGUUAGAGACCAACAUGCUUUGUAGGUUGCAACUCUUGAUCUUGGUGAACCACCUUUUAUGGUACCGUUGCCAAUACCAAAUAUGGUUGCGUUUUGUACGAAGUUUCCACCUGCUGUUGAUAGUGUGUGUGUCCCAUGGCCUACAAAGUCUCGCGCUGUUUGUUGUGAACUAGGGAGUUUACCGUGAAAGGCCUCGUAAGCUUUGUUGAAAAAUCUUGCUCCGAUUAGCUUUCUAGGUAGUCCAUUCAAAUAGACAAAAUGACUGUUAGAAUUUAUGUCAUCAAUGUUUUAAAACCGGACUAGACCGGUUUGUUUAUUUGAUUAAACCAGAAAUCGGUUACUCAUACUCUAUUAAUUGACAGAUUGGUUCAACCAUGGUUCACCUGUUGUUAGUUAAACUGGUUAUUUUAUUUUAUUUUUUUGCAUUCUUAAAACAAUUUUUAACACUUAUUUAUUAGUCAUCUGACUACUUGAUGAUAAUUUCAGACGGCCCCAAACCGCCAAAAUCAUUAUAGUAAUCUGAUUCCUUCGUGAUAAUUUCUGGCGGCCCCAAACUGCCUGAGUCAUUUGAUUCUUCACGUUUUGAGACUCCGACCGUCGGUUUUUCCAAAAGUUUUCAAUAUUAACUUCAAGUAGAAUUAUGAUUUUCAAUAUUACUUAAAUUAAAUUGUGCAAUAUACAAAAUAAAUUGACAGUGAAGCAAGUUGAAAGAGAACCUGUUACAUGGAACUUUCUUAGAAGUAUUGAGUUUGUCAAGUUGACAAAUGUUACCCCCACGCCAUCUUAAUGGAAUUGGACCUAUUCCUCUGUCGUUAAAACUCUCCGAUUCCGGCCAAACACCUAAUACAAACAAAACAAACAAUAGGAUAAUUAUCUUUUGAGUAAUUUAGUCAUCUAUUCUAGGUGUUUAUUUUAAGGGAUUAGUCAUCUAUAAUUAAUUAAAAAAGAAAUAGACCUUUAACAUGAAGAUUAUAAUAUUGAAUUUGAAUCUGUAAAUUUUAUCUUCACUUUCUCAUAAAAUAGUUGAAAUUCUUGUGACUUGUGAGCUACUUGACUUAAUUAUUACAUCGUGUAAUCCUCCCUUUUUUCAAUUUCUAAAUAAGGAACAAAACACGAGAUAUUGUGGCAAAUUAAAUAUUUUUUUUUUCUUCAUAUUAAUUAAGAACUCAAGGUGUCAAAAAAGAAAAGAAAAGAAAAGGGAACUCAAGAAAACAUGUUACCAAUUCAAAGAAAGUAUGUAGUUUUUGUCUCCAUGUAGCUCAUUAUAUCUAAGAAAAAAGGCUGAUCAUCCGGUUGUUCUAUAACAAACAUUAUGUAAAUUUUUUCUUUCCAUAUUAUAUCAUAGUUUUUUGUCCAAGAGGUGUCUUAAAGCUUAACUCUAUAACCACAAUUGUUAAUAAAAUUUCCUCUUCACCAAUUUUUUAAAAGAAGAAAAACAUUAUGUCAAUUUUGGUAGUCUAUAUCAAGUCACUAAGAUUAUACUAUCUGCAAAGACUUCUAUGCACAAGAUAACAAGACCAUAAAUAUUAAUAUUCACAAACAAAAAAAAAACCAUGAAUAUUGAAUAAUCAUACACAAGACCAUAAAUAUCAUAUUGUUAUUUAUUUUUCUAGUGAUAGGGAUUGACUCAUUUUUUUAGGGGACCAGUAUUAAAGUUAUUUAUAUUUUACUUAUGUUUCAUGAUUGUAACAUAACAACUCCAAUCAAGUACAAAAUAAUGUAGCACUAGGAUCUAGUUCAAGUGGUUGAUGCGUGCGUGUAUGUGUUGUAAAUCUGGAAUACCAAGCCUGGUUGUGCUAUUAAUAAAAAGGGCUUUUAUACAUGAACCAUCUUAGGUGGCAUACACCCUUUUACACCCACACACAUUUGUGACACAUGGCAAAAACAUUGAAAGAAGAGAUGAAAAUGGGUGAUGAUAUGAUGUAAAAUUACUAAAAUAAGCCUAACAUAUGGGGUGUGUAUAAGAGGUGUAUGAAAAAGAGUGUCUACCUAUCUUUUUCCUAAUAAAAAUAUCCAAACUAAGUUGCAAAUGUUUUUUCUAUAAGAAAAGAUAUUAAAAUAAAUGGGAACACUUAUUCACAAGUAUGCGUUAAACAAAAGUACACAGUUUGAAUAAAAGACAAAGUGGCAGAUAUGAAAAACACUACACAAAAAGGCACCAAAAAUUGACCAGCAAGUGCAGGACAAAACAUAGCAGUUAAUGAAAAUGAAUGAAUAUUAUUCUAUUUUAUAAGCAGAAACAAGUUGUAUUUAUCAGAAAUAAAGAAAGACUAUAAACCCCGAGUAAAAAAAGACAACACUGCAUAAGACAUAAAUCCAAAAGUAUAUAAAAACAAAUAUAUGCAAGGUACACAAGAUGCCGUUAUAAUUGACAUAAGAAGAGAACUAGGACAAAAAGUACACAGCUAUACCAUGCACCCAUGUAAACAACUAAUGAUGUGUCAUGUUGACUAUGUAAAAAAUUAUGUUUAUUUUGUCUAACAGAGAAUGUUGUUCUAAAUGUUGGAAAUUCAGCUUUUAUUGCAGUCUGUCGCCUAAUUACUACCAUUUGAGUUGCUUUGUGUUGGCUUUGAGGGGUGGAUUUAGUCCUACAUCAGAUAGAUAAGACUCUCGAUAAGAGUUUACAAAGAGGAGGCACUCCUCACCUUAUAAGCCGAUUUUGUGAUUUUGUAAGGAUGAAUUAUGCCCCAAAUUUCAAGACGAAUAUUAUUUUUUUUUAGGAAAACACUGAAUAUUGUUAUUAUAACUAAAUAAACGAUUUUUAUUGGAUUAUAGAACAUAGAAUGUGGUAAAAUUAUAAAGGUGUGUACCUGUAUCAAUGUUAGCUAUAAUGGUAUUUUCACCAAACCUUCCCUUUUGCCAAGCUGUGUUGACAUCAUUUGUACUUAGUCCAAGGAAUUCCCAAGAACGUGUUGUGUGCAGUUUAUGAGAUUUGCUUAAGAACACAGAUACCACCUUUGGAUUUUCUGCAUAUGUUGGAAUAUUGUGUAUCUAAUUUAAAACCAAACAUAAAAUGAUAUGUAUGAUUUAAUGUAAAACACUUGGCCAGUUGGGAUAAACAAUUUAAAUAAGCAUUUAUAGCAUGAGUGGUUGUGAUGUAAGUUCUUAUGUAUAAGCUUAUUAUUAUAACAAAAGAUAAAAUAAAGUAAAAUUAUUUUCAAAUAGUUGUUUCCAUAACUUAUCUUAGAAAGGUUAUGGAAAUAAGCUAAAAGUGGGUUAUAAAUAUGUCAUAAGUUAUUUUCAUAAGCUCUCUCAAAUAUUUUCUUAAGUGUUUAUGUCAUUUAAAAACAUCAAAUAUGCUAAUUAAUUAAGACAGUGGAAGCAUGCUUAUUAUGUUUCUGACUUGCAAGUUGUGCAGCUUCUUCCUCUUCAAGUAUAGCUGCAAAGCCAUUAAUCUGUUUAUUAUAUGAAUAAAUUAUUGCCUCUUCUGCCUCCUCGUGGCUGUGAAUGAUCAAUAUAUAUAUAUAUUAGUUAAUCGAUCAAUUUCCUCUAUAGAAAAGCUUAAGCUGAAUAUUUUAAUUAAUAGUUUUUUAUCAUUAGUAUAUAUAUAUACCUUCCCAAGAUUGAACCCAGUAAAUCAUAAUGAGAAUAUGUAGCAGUUUCAAGGUCAACAGAGGAAGGAGUUGGACCAUGUACAUGUGCUCCCAAGUAUACAAUGUAGCACUGUAAAAAUAAAUAGGAAACCAAAAACCAAAAGCUUAUGAAAUUAAUGAAAUCAUAAUCUUAAUUAUAAAGUAUAUAUGCAAUUAAGAAGCAAACUAGCUUACCUUUUUGCUUGCGUGAACAUGAUUCAGCAUCAAGAUGAAAAUAAGAAGUGAUGAGAAAAGAAGAUGAUGAAGAGAUAAAAUGGAGCGACCCAUUUUUCAGUCUAUGGAAAGUGUUGAGCUUAGCUUAGGGGAUAUAUGCUAAUUCAUCUCCUUAUGUAAUGAAAGGAACAAAUAUUUAUAUGGGUUAAAAGACAGCUCAAUAGUGUUUUGUUUUUUUUUGGACAGUUCAAGAGUAUUUUUAUUCUAAGCUUUUGGUAAGCUGAAUAAGAUAUUAUAUCAUAAAUUAAUAAAAGAAAGAUCAUAUCAUAUCAUAAUUCAAAUAAAGAUUUUGACAAACUUAGAUUUGUCAUCUUGGCUCCUUAAGAUGAAAAAAUUUGUUUUUAAAUUUGCUUAAAAUUUGGUGAUGAAAGUUCUUCAAAAAUUACGGCACGGUUAGUUGUAAACAUAGCGCAGUUUGGGUGCUUGAAGAUUGGUUUUGCUCGUCCAAAAUCACGGCGCGCGCGAUUUCAUGCAAUCGUGUCGUGAUUGUGGAUAAGGUUGGCAAUAAUGUUGUGUACGAGUUGAAGAUCGCGACGCGAUCCAAGAAAAUUGCGGUGUGAUAUUGUCUGCGUAUGGGCACUACAAAAGCCUCCAUUAAUCAAUUUUUGGUGAGCCUUUAAGAGAGAGAAUUUUUACAAACCAGUGGAUGCAACUUAAAGGCUAAGGGUUAAGUGUCUUUUGUGAGAUUCUUGGGUUGGGAAACACUUCACAAAUACCUUGGGUAGUGAGAUUUAAUUAAUAGAAAGAUCCAAAAGCUUUAUCUCUUGUUUUCUAGUUAUGAUUCAUUGUGAGUUUGAGUGACUUGGAAAAUGGACAAAAAUUAAGAUUUGUUCUUUCAUGGUUCGCGGGAUCUAAAUUCUUAUAACCUCUUUGUAUAACUCAUCAUCAUAGUAGAUUAUUGGAGAGUUGCUCUCUCCCCCAGUCAGCCGUAGAACAUAUUAAUCCGAACUGGAGUAAAUAAAUAUUGGUGUGUUGGUUUUCUCUACUCUCUUAUCUUUGUUGUUUUGGUUAUUCUUGUGGUUUUACUUUACACUUAAAUUUAGGUCUAUUAUGUUUUGUUAUUUUUUUAAGCUACUUUAAUUUAGUUACGAUUUCCUUUUGCCACGGAGCUAAAUUUAUUGGUGUGAUUUACAGUUCAAAUGCACAACAAUUUGGUUAGUAAAGACUAUUCAUCUUGUGUACUACAAGUUUUCCUUUGAAGUACCACCAUUAACAACAAUUAAUGGAUGUUUAGUACCUUUCACAAAAUAAUGCCAAAAAAUUGUGUGUUACAAGAGUUAGAGCCACAUUAGUACUCAAGACAUGCGUUUUAUUAGAAGCUACAACUUCUAUCUUUUAGAAACCACGGUGAAAAUAAUCUUGGAACUCGAGAAUUGCAAGUUAAAUGUAGUUCGAAAGAUACACUUAUUCAAAAUUUAGGAAAAAAUUAUGUAAAACCUCCACAUCAAACAAUGAAGGGAAUACAAAGAGUCAAAGGACAAAACAGAAUUGGACUCCUUGCCACAUAUUCUUAAUCUGAGGUAAAGUGGAAAUUUUCAAAUCAAUACCAACGUAAAUUAGUGGAAAAUUUCAAAUCAAUACCAACACCCUUUCAUACCAGCAGCAGUUUUUAUUGGUGGUGUCCGGAAUUCGAACCCAAACCUUGCAUAUAUUAUACAAUAUCUCUAUCAACUGAACUAAACUCACAGAAUACGAGCAGCAUGCCAGCAGCAGUUGAUUACAUACAUUACAUUCUUAAAGAUAGUAGCAAAUAAAAUAUUAUUAAUUUUUUCCACUUGCUCUCCCCUUCCAAAGUAGUUAUAUAUGAAGAAAAAAUUAACUUUCAAAGUCCUCCCCUUUUAAUGUCUUCUAUUUUUUUUCACUUGUUCCUUCUUUUUUUUUUCGAAACCCUCUCCUCCCUUCUCUUAAAAACUCGCAAACAAAGCCUAAAAGUGUGUAUUACUGUGCAUAUUCGUAUCUUUUAGAAAACCUUGUGUAUGAAGGCAAGUGGUAUAGUACCUACGGUGACCCUAAUAAUUGUCGUAUCUGAAAAUGAGUGCUCUAUUUCUUGAAAUGGUACUAUGAUGGCUUUGUUAUUUAUGAACUAUAAGAAAAUGUAUACCCAAAAUCAUGCAUUGUGAGUGGUUUUGACAAUAAAAAAAAGAGAGAAAAUGGUUUAAAGACAACUUUUACUAUUAAAAAGAGAAUAAGAAAAAUGAUAGAAGAGAUACAAAAUAUUGAUUAUUUUACAUUGAUUAUAAACUUGCGUAUAUGAUAGUUGAAGUUGAAAAAUGAAAUUAAAAUUUUAUUUUAUCCUUGUAAGUUAUAGUUGGCUUGUUUUUUUAUCUCUGGUGAGGCCUACGUUACCCCUUCAUGAAUUGGGGGUAAUUGAUCCCUAAUGACAAGUCUAAUUUGAUUACAGAAUGAAGAAGAUGAACAUUAGAUGUUUAGAAUGAAGAAGAUGAAAAUUAGAUGUUGAAUGAAAGAAAUGAAGAAGAUUGAUGUUUUUAAGAUGAAAAUGGUAAUUGGUUGUAUGAAAAAACCAAAAUGAUGAAGUCUACAUUAUCACUUGAUGAAUUGGGGGUAAUUUACCUAUAAUAACAAGUAGGAUUCGAUUAUGAAACGAAAGAGAUGGAGAUCACAUUUUGAAUGAAACAGAUGGAGAUCACAUUUUGAAUGAAACAGAUGUAAUUCCUUCUCAGUUUCGUUCAUCUCUUGCUUCACUUGAUCUUAGUGGAAAUCGUUUGAAUGGAAAGAUACCAAAAAUUCUUGGAUUCUUGAGUCAGUUGUCAAUGUUGAAUCUCUCACAUAAUAUGCUUUCAGGCACCAUUCCUUCAUUUUCUAGGAUGAGUUUGGAUUUUGUUAACAUAUCAGACAAUCAGUUAGAAGGGCGGCUUCCGGACAAUCCAGCUUUUCUUCAUGCUCCGUUUGAAUCAUUCAAAAAUAACAAAGACUUGUGUGGAAAUUUCAAAGGCUUGGAUCCUUGUGGAAGUCGAAAGAGCAAAAAUGUCCUCCGAUCGGUAUUAAUUGCUUUUGGAGCUCUAAUUUUAGUAUUGUUUGGUGUUGGAAUUUCGAUGUAUACUUUGUGUCGAAGAAAAAAAUCAAAUGAAAAGACCAAACUGAAACAAAC
rnacentral:lncRNA from 1 species